GCCAUCUUAGCUCAGCAGGUAGAGCACUUGACCUGUAAUCAUGAGGUCUCCGGUUCGAUUCCGGGAGAUGGCU
rnacentral:tRNA from 1 species